GUAGUCUUUUAUUUAUACCUAGUUAUCCAAGCUGGUUUUAAAUAAACAUUAUCGAUAAAGAUCAGCAAAAAUUUUCGCUUUUGAAAUGCAUUACUGGCACGGGGCUGAACACUUCUUUUAGGCACAAUCAUAACUUUGUUUACCCCGAGAGAUCCGAAAAGCACUUGUUAUUUACUUGAAAAAGGCAUGAACUGCUUAUGGAAACAUUUAAUAUUAUUAAAUUUUCCAGACAUAUCAUUACUAUUUAACCUGAGACGACAAACUAGAGGUUUUAAAAAGUUCUGAAUAACUGAAAUGGACAAAAAUACACAGAUUUAUUCAGAAAAUCAUACUUAUGAAGAUCACACAAAAAUCUUUGGAAAAAUCAGAACUAUGGAUUUCAAUAUGGGUCAUUAUCCCUAAUGCGCCUCGAAAUGAGGAACUCAAAAGUUGUGUGUAAACAAAUAAUCUCUGUGUAGUGAUAUUGGACAUGUUUCUAUUUUUUACAAAUGACUGAGCUUAACCAUUUGUGGUGAAUAGGAAAGUAGAGAAACAUGGAAUAAAUGUGUGUUUCGGGACAUACGGACGUACAGACGGACAAGGGUGAAACUUAAUGCCCCAUCCGCUAUGGCGGGGGCAUACAGAGAUAUAUUUAUUAGCGUAUGAUAUACACAAUACACAGCUUGCCUAUCAUUUUAUAGAAGGAAUAUUUGAUAACAUUAAUAAAAUAAUUUGAAGUAAAUGAUAAGAAAACAAAAGUAAAGUACCAUCCCUUUCCUUAUUUUGUUUUUGACAAUGCUUGUAAGGAUCAACAGGAACGGAUCCAUAAAUUUUUCAGAGGGUUUAACUAAAACGAA